GCUUCUACUUUUGAACAAAGUAAAAUGUAAUGCACAUAGAUAGGCAUGCAUCAUAGGCAGUACUUGUUUCUAAGUUAUCUAAGCAUAAUCUGUUGUUUAAUCCAAAUUGUGUUAUCAAAAUUUGCGCAGAAUGUGUUCUGGUCUUGCUUCAUGGAUCAGUUUUCUCAUAAAACUAAUGUGCCUGGACAAUAGUUUGGUCCACUAAUGUUAUAUCUCUCUCAUUGUAGGAUGGCAAGUUUUGGCAGCUGGAGCAUCUCGCAUAAGAGAGAGCAAUGAAAUCCAUUGUACUGUUUCGUUAAAAAAAGUACAUUGUGCUGUUAUGAUAGUAGUAGAUGUGCCAUCAUUUUCUUAUUGUAUAUUCUUGUGUAAGGAAAUGUAUUCCUGAGAUGAUUUUUUGUGUAUGUAAACCUGGGAGAUAUUUUCUUUUUGUGUUAUGUAAAGAUGGGAGUUUUCCUAAUUUGAAUGAAAUAAUGUUGGAUGUAUGUGUGUGAUCGGGCUAAAGUCUGCUUUGCCCAAACUAGACAAAUAAUUGGGCUGAAACAUGCCACAUACCAACAAACAUCGAACAAUUUCAAAAAUGAAAUGAAAAGUCUUACAGAAAAAAGAAAUGGACUGCAAAAAGCUCGAGGGCCUCAAAAACUAACAAGGCUGAAUUGUUGGGCUUGGCCCAUGAAGCAGAUAAAAAAUUGACAGAAAAAUAUAUAAAAAUACCGAAUUGUUGGGCUCGGCCCAUGUAGAACGCCGAAUCGGACCGGGCUGAAUCUUGUGCCACAUCAGCUUGCCAUGCUGGAUGCCUACGUGGCCUAGGGAGGUUGCUAGUGACCAAAACACCACAGUGGACAUAUUUUGGUCAUAAACGUCUACGACCAUUGCAGAAGAAAGGUCGCUAUAGUCAGUUUACGACCGCCAGCUUUUGACCUUCGUUUUUUGGUCACAAAAAGGUCGCAAAUGAAAAACCAUGACCUUUCAGUGAUCAAUAGUGGUGGUCACAAGUUGACAUAUUUCUUGUAGUGCUUCAACAAUUUUUUUCCUAUGUGAGAUACUUGUUUUGUAUGCGAGCUAACUCAAUCAUCUUGAAAGCUUCAAUCUCAGUUGAGGUACAGAGGUUAAGUAAAGGUUGAGGGAUGUUUUCUUCUUCCGCCACCGGAGCUUGAUCCUCCAUGGCCUUCUUGAUCCCUUCAUCCUUGUUGAUCUCCUCUGGUUCUUCUCUUUUCAGCUCUAUCUUCAAUAGCCAAGCAUCCUUGUCUUCAUUGUUGAAGGAGGGUGAUGUCAUGAUGCUCUAGAUCUGUCAGGGAAACAACUCGAAAUGAAAACGGAAGAUUUUUGCAUGAUACGGUGGUCAAAACCUUCAGGGGAUUAUAUAAUGAAUUUUUACCGACCAAAAGAAGUACCGUGCAAGAAAACGGAGUCCGGGAGGCACACGAGGUGCCCAUGAGGCAGGGGGGCGUGCCCAGUAAGGGGGGGGGGGGCGCACCCUCCACCCUCGUGGAGGCCUCGUGUCCUUCCCGGAUUACUUCUUGCUUUCCAAAAUUCUUAAAUAUUCCAAAACGGAGAAAAAAUUCCAUUAGAACUGUUUUGGAGUCGGUUUACGUACCGUACCACAUACCUAUUCCUAUUCGGAGUCUGAAACAUUCUGGAAAGUGUCCCUUAUGUAUUCAUCUAGGGUUACGGUCUCAAUAAUAUUAGUUUCAACAUUUAUAGGAUUGCCUCAGAUAUAGUGUUUGAUUCUUUGACCAUUCACCACCUUCGGAUUUGUGCCUUUGAAGUUGUUGAUUUUUAUGGCACCGGAACGAUAGACCUCCUCGAUAACGUAAGAACCUUCCCACUUAGAGAAAAGUUUUCCUGCAAUAAAUCUUAAACGAGAGUUGAACAACAACACAUAGUCACCUACGUUAAACUCACGCUUUUGUAUUCUUUUGUCAUGCCAUCUUUUAACUUUUUCUUUGAACAGCUUGGCAUUCUCAUAGGCUUGGGUUCUCCAUUCAUCAAGUGAGGUAAUAUCAAAUAACCUCUUCUCAUCGGCAAGUUUGAAGUCAUAGUUGAGCUCUUUAAUAUCCCAAUAUGCUUUAUGUUCAAGUUCGAGAGGUAAGUGACAUGUUUUUCCAUAAACCAUCUUAUAUGGAGACAUACCCAUAGGAUUUCUAUAUGCAGUUCUAUAAGCCCAUAAUGCAUCAUCAAGUUUCUUGGAACAAUUCUUUCUAGAUCUAUUGACCGUCUUCUGCAAAAUUAAUUAGAGCUCUCUAUUACUCAACUCUACUUGACCGCUAGACUGUGGGUGAUAAGGAGAUGCAAUUCUAUGAUUAACAUCAUACUUAGCAAGCAUUUUACGAAAAGCACCAUGAAUAAAAUGUUAACCACCAUCAGUCGUGAGAUAUCUAGGGACUCCAAACCUCGGAAAAAUAACUUCUUUAAGCAUCUUAAUAGAGGUGUUAUGAUCGACACUACUAGUUGGAAUAGCUUCUACCCACUUAGUAACGUAAUCAAUAGCGACUAAAAUAUGUGUGUAUCCAUUAGAGGCAGGAAAAGGUCACAUAUAAUCAAAGCCCCAAACAUCAAAUGGUUCAAUAACAAGGGAAUAAUUCAUAGGCGUUUCUUGACGUCUACUAAUAUUACCAAUUCUUUGACAUUCAUCACAAGACAAGACAAACUUACGAGCAUCUUUGAAGAUAGUAGGCCAAUAAAAACCGGAUUGCAAUAAGAUAUUUAAUAGCAGCAUGAUCAGUGUGAAUAGUUACUUUAGAAUAAAAAAUAUAAGGUCUGAACUUAUCACAUGCAAAUACAACUGCUAAGAAUUCUUUAUCUGUAGUAGCAUAAUUUCUCUGGGCAGUAUCAAGAGUUUUACUAGCAUACUGGAUAACAUUUAAUUUCUUAUCAACUCUUAGCCCUAGAACAACACCUACAGCAUAAUCACUAGCAUCACACAUAAUUUCAAAGGGUAAAUUCCAAUCAGGUGGCUGAACAAUAGGUGAAGUGAUCAAAGCUUUCUUAAGUAUUUCAAAUUCUUCUACACAAUUAUCAUCAAAGACAAAAGGAAUAUCUUUUUGCAAUAAAUUAGUCAGAGGCCUAGAGAUUUUAGAAAAGUCCAAACUUCUUAUACCUUUAAUGUCCUUGGGACACGGCAUCUUUUCAAUAGCAUCAACUUUAGCUUUAUCAACUUCAAUACCUCUUUCAGAAAUUCUAUGCCCCAAGACAAUGCCUUCAUUAACCAUAAAGUAACACAUUUCCCAAUUCAAGACAAGAGUAGUGUCUUCGCAUCUCUGCAAAACUCGCUCAAGGUUGCACAAGCAAUCAUCAAAACAGGAUCCAUAAACGGAGAAGUCAUCCAUCAAUACCUCACAAAUCUUUUCACAAAAGUUAGAGAAUAUAGCCAUCAUGCAUCUUUGAAAGGUAGCAGGUGCAUUAAAUAAACCAAAAGUCAUAUGUCUAUAAGCGAAAGUACCGAAAGGGCAAGUAAAAGUAGUUUUUGAUUGAGCCUCCGCUGACACAGGUAUUUGAGAGAAACCAGAAUAACCAUCUAGAAAGCAGAAGUGUGUAUGUUUGGAUAGUCUUGCUAGCAUUUGAUAAAUACAAGGUAAAGGGUAAUGAUCUUUCUUAGUAGCUUUAUUUAAUUUACGGAAAUCAAUUACCAUCCUAUAACAUGUAAUAAUUCUUUGCGGAAUCAAUUCAUCUUUAUCAUUAGGAACUACAGUAAUACCUCCCUUCUUAGGGACGCAAUGGACAUGACUUACCCAAUCACUAUCAGCAACGAGAUAAAUUAUACAUGCCUCAAGGAGCUUUAGUAUCUCCUUUCUUACCACUUCUUUCAUCUUCGGGUUUAGCUGUCGUUGAUGAUCUCUAACUAGUUUGGAGCCUUCGUCCAAUUUAAUUUUGUGUUGGGAGUGGGACUAAUGCCCUUAAGAUCAUCCAGAGUAUAUCCAAUAGCAGGACAGUGCUUCUUCAGAGUUUUCAAUAAUAUUUCCUCUUCUUGCUUUGAAAGGUUAGCACUAACAAUAACAGGAUAUAUCUUCUUUUCAUCAAGAUAAGCAUAUUUAAGAUUAUCAGGUAAAGGUUUGAGCUCAAAAAAUGGGAUCACCCUUGGGUGGAGGGGGAUCCCCUAGGAUUUCAAAAGGCAAGUUGUAUUAGGACCUUGUUUAAGGAAUAAUUCAUCUAUGUCCCUUCUUUCAUUCAUAAAAAUAUCAUUUUCAUGGUCUAGCAAAUAUUGUUCUAAAGGAUCAGUAGGAGGCACGGUAAUAGAAGCAAGACCAAUAAUUUCAUCCUUACUAGGCAAUUCUUUAUCAUGGGGUUGCCUACGAAAUUUAGCAAAAUUAAACUCAUGUUUCAUAUCCCCCAAGCCAAUCGUAACAACAUCCUUUUUGCAAUUAAUCCUAGCAUUAAUAGUAUUCAAGAAGGGAACCAAGAACAAGAAAAUCAACAGGAUAUUUAACUUUCCCAAACAAGACUUCGACAUCUCUAACAAUCAGAAAUGGUGUAAUAGUAUUUCUAUUGGCAAGCAUAAUUGUAACAUCAAUAUCUUUUAACUCAGCGGGUGCGAUAUCAUGGAUAAUUUAUUUAUAUAGGUAAAUAGGUAUUGCACUAGCACUAGCACCCAUAUCACAUAAGCCAUGAUAACAAUGAUCUCCUAUUUUAAUAGAAAUAAUAGGCAUGCCUACAACAGGUCUAUGUAUCUUAGCAUCGGGUUUAGCAAUAUUAGCAGCUUCACCAUAGAAGUAAAUAACAUGCCCAUCUAUAUUAUCAUCCAAGAGAUCUUUAACCAUAGCAAUACUAGGUUCAACUUUAAUUUGCCCAGGAGGUGUAUAUGUUCUAGUAUUACUCUUAAGAACCACAGUUGAAGCUUUAGCAUGAUCCUUUUUACUCUAACAGGAAAAGGUGGUUUCUCAACAAAAGUAGUAGGAACAAUAGGAUCAUUAUAAGUGAUAGUCUUUUCUUCAACUGUAAUAGGUGCAACUUCUCUUAGUUCAAUGGGAGGAUUAUAUUUAACCACUUCUCCUUAGGGAGAUCAACAUGAGUAGCAAAAGAUUCACAGAAAGAGGCUACUAUCUUAGAGUCAAGUCCAUAUUUAGCGCUAAAUCCACGAAAAGCAUCAGUAUCCAUAACAGAUUUAACACAAUCAAACUUCGGAGUCAUACCUGACUCCUUACCAUCGUCAAAACCCCAAUAUUUAGAGUUGCGUUUAAUUCUUUCUAGUAAAUCCCACUUGAAUUCAGUAGUCUUCGGCAUAUAAGAACCACCACAGGAAGUAUCAAGCAUGGUGCGAUCAUUGAGAGAAAGCCGAGCAUAAAAUUUUGAAUAAUCAUUUCUCUUGAGAGCUCAUCAUUAGGGCAUGAAUAUAACAUUAACUUAAGCCUCCCCCAAGCUUGAGCGAUGCUUUCUCCAUUGUGAGGCCAGAAAUUAUAUAUGUAAUUACGAUCACGAUGAACAAGAUGCAUAGGAUAGAACUUCUGGUGAAAUUCCAACUUCAAUCGUUUAUAAUUCCAAGAUCCCAUAUCAUCACAUAGCCUAUGCCAUGUCAAUGCAUAUCCCUUCAAGGAUAAAGGAAAGACCUUCCUGUUAACAACAUCAUCGGGAAUACUUGAAAGCUUAAAUAAUCCACAAACUUCAUCCACAUAGAUAAGGUGUAAAUCGAGAUGCACUAUUCCAUCUCCUGCAAAGGGAUUAGCUAGCAGUUUCUCUAUCAUACCCGAAGGAAUCUCAAAGUAACAUUUUCAGUAGGUUCAGUAGGUUGAGGAGCAAAUCUUUGCUCUACUGGUCGGGGCAAAGAUACCCCGAACAGGCCCCUCAAAGGAUUAGUUUCCACAGUAACAAGUGACAGAAAAUUUCAGCACACUAUAUAAAUGUUUCCUUACCAAGUUCCACUCACCAAAGGCGCUUCACUCCCCGGCAACGGCACCAGAAAAGAGUCUUGAUGACCCACAAGUAUAGGGGAUCUAUCAUAGUCCUAUCGAUAAGUAAGAGUGUCGAACCUAACGAGGAGCAGAAGGAAAUGACAAGCGGUUUUUAGUAAGGUAUUCUCUGCAAGCACUGAAAUUGUAGGUAACAGGUAGUUUUGUGAUAAGAUAAUUUGUAACGGGUAUCAAGCAAUGAAAGUAAAUAAGGUGCAGAAAGGUGGCCCAAUCCUUUUUGUAGCAAAGUACAAGCCUGGACAAUUUCUUAUAAUGAGAAAAGCGCUCCCGAGGACACAUGGGAACUAUCGUCAAGCUAGUUUUCAUCACGCUCAUAUGAUUCGCGUUUGGUACUUUGAUAAUUUGAUAUGUGGGUGGUCCGGUGCUUGGGUACUGCCCUUUCUUGGACAAGCAUCCCACUUAUGAUUAACCCCUAUUGCAAGCAUCCGCAACUACAAAAGAAGUAUUAAGGUAAACCUAACAUAGCAUGAAACAUAUGGAUCCCAAUCAACCCCUUACGAAGCAACUUAUAAACUAGGGUUUAAGCUUCUGCCACUCUAGCAACCCAUCAUCUACUUAUUACUUCCCAAUGCCUUCCUCUAGGCCCAAAUAAUGGUGAAGUUUCAUGUAGUCGACGUUCACAUAACACCACUAGAGGAGAGACAAAUACAUCUCAUCAAAAUAUCGAACGAAUACCAAAUUCACAUGACUACUAAUAGCAAGACUUCACCCAUGUCCUCGGGAACAAACGUAACUACUCACAAAGAAUAUUCAUGUUCAUGAUCAGAGGAGUAUUAAUAUGCAUUAAGGAUCUGAACAUAUGAUCUUCCACCAAGUAAACCAAUUAGCAUCAACUACAAGGAGUAAUCAACACUGCUAGCAACCCACAGGUACCAAUUUGUGGUUUUGGAUACAAGAGAUGAACUAGAGUUUGAGAGGAGAUGGUCCUGGUGAAGAUGUUGAUGGAGAUUGACCCCCUCCCGAUGAGAGGAUCGUUGGUGAUGACGAUGGUGAUGAUUUCCCCCUCCCGGAGGGAAGUUUCCCCGGCAGAACAGCUCCGCCGGAGCCCUAGAUUGGUUCCGCCAAGGUUCCGCCUCGUGGCGGUGGAGUUUCGUCCCAUAAGCUUGCUUAUGAUUUUUUUUCCAGGGUAAGAGAUUUCAUAUAGCAGAAGAUGGGCACUGGAGGUCCAACAAGGGGCCCACGAGACAGGGGGGCGCCCAGUAGUGGGGGGGAGCCCCCCCACCCUCAUGGUCAGGGUGUGGGCCACCUCUGGUACUUCCUUUGCUCAAUAAUUCUUAUUAAUUCCAAAAAUGACUUUCUUGGAGUUUCAGGUCUUUUGGAGCUGUGCAGAAUAGGUUUCCAAUAUUUGCUCCUUUUCUAGCCAGAAUCCCAACUGCCGGCAUUCUCCCUCUUCAUGAUAAACCUUGUAAAAUAAGAGAGAAUAGCCAUAAGUAUUGUGACAUAACGUGUAAUAACAGCCCAUAAUGCAAAAAAUAUCGAUAUAAAAGCAUGAUGCAAAAUGGAUGUAUCAUCUUCGUUUACAUGACAGUAGCAUGUUGAUAUAUAGCAUCGUUGUUUAUUUUAUACAUUUGAUUUCUCUUGUCAUUUCAAAUUUUCAAUAUUGAGUCCACCAUCUUCCCCGAGUCGGUGUAAACCUAUAGAGCUGCAAUUUUUUAACAAACUGACAUAUUAAGCUAUUGUCCAAUGUUUAUAUUGGUAAGUGGCAACAUCAUCUAUCUUAUAGUUAGUGAUGUUUUUUCUUCGCAAGGAAUGAGUUGAAGGUACAUGAACAAGUCACCUAUAUGUAUUGUCCCAUGUGCUGUCUGCUUACAUAGCUCUGUUGCCACAGAAGGUGCGCACCGAAAUAUAAAUUUUACUGAUAUCACAUGCUAUUGUAGUAGUUUAAGCACCCUGUCAGUUUGUUGUUUGCUGGAAAUGACCAUCUUUAACAAAAGAACAUAAAAGUACUACUAGCAUGAGUGUCAUAUGGAGUUCAUCAAGUAGCUCACACUUUUCAUAUUCUUGUUAAUAUUCACUUGGUAGCUCAAUAACUGCACAGAGUACAAAAGUAAGCAAGUUUGUCUUGCUUUCGGCAAAUGAAAGCCAACCUUACAGUGAAAUUUUUUACCUGUGCAGGAUGCAAACAUGAGUACUGCAUGCGAUGUGCCACAUACAUUUGCUUGACCAGCUACAUGUCGGUGAACCCCACAGGCGCUAUUAUCGUGCCCACUCUGUCGGCACCUGAUCAUCUCGUUGUCAUUCUGCACGACGAGCCCAGCGGUUUCCUCGGACUUCACCGCCCCCAGGAACCGGGCCACCGAGCUCCGUUGUAGCGCUGGUGCCCACAUGCUAUCAAUGGGCUUGAUGAGAACGGGAUGAUGCUACCAUUGGUGCGGAUCCAUUGCGCCAUCGUCAACCACACAUGGCAGGAGUAGCUCUUUGAGGAGAUUGAGACUGAGGAUGACGAGGAGUUGAACCAGCACGAUGUCGAUGCCUAAAAGUCACAUGUUGACAGCUCUCGCGGGUUGGUGCUGCCGCCAACGACGACGAGGCAGGCGGCUUCGGCUCGGGGCGUUUCGAAGUAGUCUUUUUUCUUUGGCUUUUAGUCUUUAUUAUGCUUGGUGUCAACUUUUUGCGUUGUAAAAAGCCUUGCAUACACUUGUGCCAAGAAUGGACCAAACAAGAAAGUGAAAGGGGCUCUAUCCCACCUGGCACUGCCGAAGUUCUGCUCAGGCGGCGCGCCAUGGGCGUGCCCCAGCCACUAGUUUCUCCAGCUUGUGUGGCGCCUAUACCGUGAUGACGCAAUCCUAUGGCACCAAUAUCUUCUGGCUGAUCACCGUGGUGAUGCUGACUCGUCGCUCUCCCGCAGUCCCGCUUUGCUUCUAACAUUCCAUAGCUAUGAUUUGAUUUUUAAUGGAUGAAUUGUAGAAAUUAAAUCUACAUAGUGUACUUGGUGGGUAGUUCAAUCCAAAUUUGCACACCUACCAAUCCUAAUGCCAUAUGUCGACAUGUGGAUCCGAACUCUCAUGUGAAAGGGACAUGUAACUUACUGGUAUACGCACCGAAACAUGACUGAAUAGCCAAGGAUAUCCCGGUUGUCUCCGUCGGUGCCAGCGCGAGACAUAAGAGAAAUAAUGGAGGUCGAGCCCUGGAAUCCACAAGUCUUCCGAACGUGACUACUUAUUCUCCAUGCUGCUAGUUCAAUGGGAUCAUGGCCUAGAUGACUUCCUGUCCGCGAUCAACCACGGCAUGCUGGCUUCAGCGAUGCGCCAUCAGCCCAUCCGGGAGGAAGAACAAGGCCGUCCCACAUGAACAUGGAUACUGGGUUUUUAGCUCCGUUUGUACUGCUAGUUUGGUUAGUAGAUCUAUGAAAAAUACAAUCUCUUAUCAUGUUUCUUAUUAUUAUUGUUUUAGAAGGAAAGGGUAUCUGCCCCGGUUCCAUUUCCUUAGAAAUGAAACCAAACAAAGUAUAAUUUAUUACAGCACGUGGGGGAAGAUUGCAUCAUCAACCCUAGCAACAUUCAGGCUAGCAGGAAACAAAAUAAAACAGGUUCUAAACCACUCGAGAGGGAGCCAAGUCUACAAGAGAGAACAUAUGGAUCUUUGGAGCACAUUUUUGUCAUCCCUCCAAAACUACCAUGUUGUCUACACCUACACAUCUUCCUGCUUUCAUCAGAGAGUAUUGCAGCAACAGCUCCCUCUUCCUCAGCCUGGCUCUGGCGAGAGCAAUAGUGGUGGUCUUCUGGCAACCUCCCACAUAUAUGUUGUGAACCUCUCUACGAGCUCUUUUGCGCCGCCCUUGCACAAGAUCUUCCAUAGAUUGUAGAAACCCACUAUCUUCUUGAAAAUCACCUCACUCCCAUCCAGGUGGCAUUGUUAAAACAAAAAUUUCUAUAUCUCCAGAUAGCCCACAGAGUAGUUGAGGUAAUCAAAUUGUUAGCUUGCAAUGAUUUUUUCCCACAUUUUUGCCAAAUUUUCCAAAGUGGCCAGGGGCACGUACCCAGUAAUGGAAUGAAUAAUUCUCCAGAUUUCAGCAGCAACAUCAAACUCAAAGAAGAGGUGAUUAUUUGUUUCAUAUUCACAACAAAAUAGCCAAGUAAUAUCAUUUAAUUAUUGUCCCUUACUUAAAUUCCCUCUAACUAACAAUUUUUCAUGAGUCAAUAGCCACAAGAAAAAAUGAAUGUUGGGGAGCACAUGUAUCUGCCAAAUAUCAGGGAUAUUGACAGGGCUAAUGCCCCAAAAGUAAAUCAUGGCAUACAUAGAUCUAACAGUAUAUUUACCAUUAGAUUAUAAUUUCCAAAUUAAUGCAUCAUCCUCAUCAGAUAAGUUGAUCGAUCGAGCAAUACUAACUAGAUAAAACUAGAGAUGCAAUAGUCUAUUAUGCCACACACCUCCUGAAGAUUUACCCCUUCCCAAAGGUCACUAUGGAGAUAUUAUGGUCAUUAGCAAUAUUAUAUAACUCUAAAAAUUGGAUGGCCAAGCUACAAGAUCCAAACCAAUAAUCCUCCCAAAAGUUUAGUUUUCUCCCAUUUCCAAUUAUCCAUUGGAAACCUACUUUGGAAACUUUAGCUGCCUAGAGUACACCUUUCCAAAAAGGAGAGGAGUUAUAAUUAGGGCAAGAGAAAAUAUUGUGAUUUCUAAUUCUAUAUUUGGAAUCAACAAUAUGCUUCCACACCUUCUGGUCUCCCAACUGGUAUUUAUAAACCCAUGAGGCUAGGAGGCUUAGGUUCAUUUUAGCAAUGUUAGGUAUACCUAAGCCACCAUAUUGCUUCUUUUGGGUAAGAAGCUCCCAAUUAGCUAGGUGGUACUUGUGAUGUCCCUCAAUUAUCCCAGAAGCAGUGAGCCAUCUUUGACUUGUUCACAUUAAUAGCUCACUUGGGGAAUUUGAUCAUACUCAUAAGAUAAGUAGGAAUACUAGCUAAACAAGCUUGGAUCAACACUAGUUUCUUAUCAUACCCUAAUAGCCUUCCUCUCCAUCCAGUGACUCUUUUUAAGACUUCGUCAACCACAGGUUGCAAGUCUUCUCUUUUGAGAUUUGAGUGGUGAAGAGGAAAUCCAAGAUAUUUAAGGGGAAAUGAUCCCGGACCACAAGAUAAGGCUUGUGCCAUGAUACGUCUCCAACGUAUCUAUAUUUAUGAAGUAUUCAUGCCAUGUUUACAAUAGUUUUAUAUGAUUUUGGUAUGAUUUGAUUAGAACUAACCCGGACUGACGUUGUUUUUAGUAGAACUACCGUGGUGUUGUUUUUGUGCAGAAAUAGAAGUUCUCGAAACGUGCUGAAAAUCAACGGAGAUUUUUUCUGGAAAAUAUGAAAAAUACUGGAACAAAAAUCUACCGGAGGGGUGUCCCAUUGGCCCCACGAGGGUGGGGGAGCGCCCACCCCCCUAGGGCGCGCCCCCUGCCUCGUGGACUCCCUGAGGGACCCCUGACGUGAAAUCAACGCCAACUCCUCCUAUAAAUACAUAAACCUUCGAGAAAUAACCUAGAUCGGAAGUUCCGCCGCUGCAUGCCUCUGUAGCCACGAGAAAUCAAUCCAGGCCCUCUCUGGCACCCUGCCGGAGGGGGCCAUCAUCACCUGAGGCAAUGGAGGAGGAUCCCGGAGGGGCCAUCAUCGCCAUGAAGGCCAAGGACCAGAGGGAGAACCUCUCCCCAUCCAGGGGGGAGGCCAUGGAGGAGGAAUCACAAGGGGAGGACCUCUCCUCCUCUCUCUUGGUGGCGCCGGAAUGCCAUCAGGAGGGGAAUCAUCGCCACGGUGAUCGUCUUCAUCAACAUCACCAUCCUCAUCUCUUUUACGCGGUCCACUCUCCCGCACCCCGCUGUAAUCCCUACUUGAACAUGGUGCUUUAUGCCACAUAUUGUGAUCCAAUGAUGUGUUGCCAUCCUAUGAUUUUUUGAGUAGAUAUCUUUUGUCUUUGUGUUGAUUGAUGAUCUAGAUUGGUACGAGUUGUAUGUUUUAUUUUGGUGCUGUCCUAUUGUGCCCUCCGUAUCGCGCAAGCGUGAGGGAUUCCCGCUGUAGGGUAUUGCAAUACGUUCAUGAUUCACUUAUAGUGGGUUGCUUGAGUGACAGAAGCAUAAACCCGAGUAAGGGGGUUGUGGCGUAUGGGAUAAAGGGGACUUGAUGCUUUAAUGCUAUGGUUGGGUUUUACCUUAAUGAUCUUUAGUAGUUGUGGAAGCUUGCUAGAGUUCCAAUCAUAAGUGCAUAUGAUCCAAGAAGACAAAGUAUGUUAGCUUAUGCCUCUCCCUCAUAUGAAAUUGUAAUGACGACUACCGGUCUUGUUAACAAUUGUCUAGGAUAAUUCCGCACACUAAUCCAUCAUUAUUCCACACUCGCUAUUUAUAAUAUUUAGUAAUAUAUUCUAACUUUAUGAUAAUAGCACCUACUUUUAUAUUUUAGCUCUCAGAUAUCAUGCAAAGUUAUCCUCUUCAUACCCACAACGUAGUUUUAUUUCUCGUAUCUAGUUGGAAAAAACGUUCGGUGUACGUAGAGUCGUAUUAGUGGCAGAUAGGACUUGAGACAAUAUUGAUCUUACCUUUAGCUCCUUGAGGAUUCGACACUCCAUACUUAUCACUUCCACCUUUGGAAAUUGCUACGAUGAUCCCCUGCACUUGGGGAUUAUCAAGCUAUUUUCUGGCGCUGUUGUCGGGGAGCAAUAGCGUGGGGUUGAUAUUCUCGUGUGUGGUUGUUUGGUUUCUUCACUAAGUAGAUUUUGUUUUUCCUUUUUGUUUCUGGUUAGUUGCGGGUUAAACAUACCAAACAAAUUAAAGAAUGAAAAUACAAAAAAACAUUACUUGCCUGUCAUGCCUAAAAAAAGUUUUUCAAAAAGAGAAGUGAUUGGAAAGUUAUGCAUUGAAGAAGUGAGGGUCGACCUUGAGCACUUGUGUUCAUGCUCACGGAAACAAUGUAGAAUUUUUCAUGGAAGUUUCUCUGUAAAUAAUUAUCCCCUUGUAUAUAUCCAUUGUAUUAUAAAAAUAAUGUGCCAAGCUUUGGUUUUAGGAUGAUUAGAUUGCUUGUUUACUUUGUGCAGAACAAAAACAGAAACUUUGGAUGUAGCACGAGAUUUUACAUUUUUUACUGGAAGGUCAAAUGGUUCUGAAACUUUUUGCACAUUGCUUCCGUAAAAAAAAUUCAAAUUUUCAUAUUUAUUUCAUAACUUUUGGCGUUACAGAAGUUUACUAAACUUCCAGAUUACUACAGACUCUCCUAUUUUUGACAGAUUCUGUUUUUCGCAUGUUGUUUUCUUAUUUUGAUGAAUCUAUGGCUAGUAUCGGGGGGUAUGAACCAUAGAGAAGUUGGAAUACAGUAGGUUUAACACCAAUAUAAAUAAAGAAUGAGUUCAUUACAGUACCUUAAAGUGGUAGUUUGCUUUAUUACACUAACGAAUCUCACAAAGUUUUUGUUAAAGUUUUGUGUGGAUGAAUUGUUUGAAGAUCGAUGAGCUAUCAAUAUGAGAAGAACAAAGAGAGGCAAGAGUUAAAGCUUGGGGAUGCCCAAGGCACCCCAAGUAAAUAUUUCAAAGGAUACUCAAGCAUCUAAGCUUGGGGAUGCCCCGGUUGGCAUCCCAUCUUUCUUCUUCAACAAAUAACGGUAUACCUCGGUUUUUGUUUUGUUCACAUGAUUUGUGUCCUUUGUGUUUUUUUCCUUUAAGAACAAUGCUAGUAUGAGUUAGCCCUUCAUUGAUUUAUAGAAUACUUCAUGUGCUUCACCUAUAUCUUUUGAGUAUGGUUUUAUAGAAUGCUUCAUGUGCUUCACUUACAUAUUUUGAGCUUGGAUACUGGUUAGUCUAUAUUAAUUGUAGAAUGCUCCAUGAACUUCACUUAUAUCUUUUGGAGUAUGAAUAAUACUAUCAUGUAAAUUGGGUUUAGAAGAGUGUCUACUUUAGGAAUUAGUGAUCCCACUAUUCCGAAUGAGAAGAAUUUUUCUUAUGUGGAGAGUAGAAAAAUUUAUAUGCUUGUCGAUCAUGAAAAGAAUGCUUUAUGUGAUGGUUAUAUUGUUGAAUUCAUUCAUGAUGAUACUGAAAAUUAUUAUGAGGGAGUAAUUUAUGCUUGUAGGAGUUGCAAUAAUACCAAGUUUCCUCUCUAUGUGCUUAAAGUUUUGAAGUUAUACUUGUUUUUCCUUCCUAUGCUAGUUGAUUCUUGUUCCUAUAAAUUAUGUGCUCACAAAAUCCCUAGGCAUAGGAAGUGGGUUAGAUUUAAAUGUGCUAGUCAUAUUCUUCAUGAUGCUCUCUCUAUGUUUCAAUUCUUUUCUUUUAUGUGAGCAUCAUUGAAAUCAUCAUGCCUAGCUAAAAGGCAUUAAAGAAAAGCGCUUGUUGGGAGACAACCCAAUAUCUACCCUUGCUGUCUUUGUGUGUUUACAUGAUUAAGAUACUGUAGUAAUCAUGUUUUAUAUCUUUUGUUUCAAUAAAUUGCCAAGUAAGACCUUUGGGAAGACUUGGGUGAAAGUUAAUGUGAUCUUGCUAUAAAAAACAGAAACUUUGCGCUCACGGGAUUAGCUGCCAUUUUUAUAGAACAGUGCUUUUGAGUUGAUUCUUUUUGAAGAAGAUUAAUAGACAAAUUCCUCACGUCCACCCAUUUAGUUCAUAUUUUUUGCAGUAGCAGAAGUAUGGUUGCUGUUUAGAUCAUUACAGACUGUUCUGUUUCUGACAGAUUCUGUUUUCAUUGCAUAGUUUGCUUGUUUUCUAGUUUCUAUGAGUUAUAUUUCUCCAUAUAAAUUGUAGAAAUGAUAUGGUACAGUAGGUGUUGUGUGAGAACAAUUAUGAAACUUGUCUUUGACAGUACCAAAGUGAAUGCUUUACUCUUUAUCAUACUAACCUAUCUCACGAAAUUCCGUUAAGUUUUACGUGAUUGAUGUUUUCAAGCUUUGGGGGAGAUAUCGAUAUGAGGAGAAUAAGGAGUGGAAAGACCCUAAGCUUGGGGAUGCCCAAGGCACCCCAAGGUAAUAUUCAAGGAAGACUCAAGCGCCUAAGCUUGGGGAUGCCCCGGAAGGGCCACGGAAGGCAUCCCCUCUUUCAUCUUCAAAACUAUCGGUAUACCUUACUCGGAGCUAUAUUUUUAUUCGUCACAUGAUAUGUGUUUUGCUUGGAGCGUAUUUUCAAUUUUACUUGUUGUUUGAAUAAAAUCAUUGGAUGUGAAAUAUUGAAUGAAAAAGAAUCCUCCCAUGGCUAGUUAAUUAUUUGACUAGUCAGUGUUCUUCACUUAUAUCUUUUGGAGUAGUUUGUCAUUUACCCACGUGCUUCACAUAUAUCCUAUGCAUUGUUCAAGAAAUCUUCCGAUUCACCGAUUAAUCUUUUAAUUUAUCGCUGAUCAGGGGUGAUCGAUAAGAUUAUGCCUUAUCUCUGCCGUUUAUCUUUUGGACCGAUUUAUCAUUCUGACAAGCGAUUUAUCGGGAAUCUACCGAUAAAUUAGACCUAUUCAUCGCACUAUGUUGGCAAAAACUAUAUUUAUUUAUGUUCUGUGGACCUUGUUACGGAAUAUGUACUAUUGCCCUAUUUUGUUUGUCAUUUUACGAGGAUUCAAAGGCUAGAAAUCACGGUAACACUUCUGUCAAAUAUUGUUUUAGUGUUGAAUAUAGCGUAUUUUAGUGUUAGGAACCUGAGAUUUGCAAUAAAAUAUCUGAUUAAUGGUCGACUGAUAAAGUCGAUUAAUCAGCCGAUUUCCGAUUAAUCUCCAAUACCUAGCUGACCGAGACGAUAACGAUAAGCGAUAUCCUCAACAUUGAUCCUAUGAGUAAAUGGUUGAAUGAAUUGAAUAUCAUAAAUCUGAAAUUAUAUACCAUGGGGAGUAAUGACUUCACACAGAAUAAGUAUAGGUAGUAAACUUAUUGAAAGUUCGCAAACACAAAAUUGGUCACUUGAACAAUUCAUGAAAGAAUAUUGAAGGAAGAGAGAUUUCACAUAUAAAUAUUCUAUCUUGGACAUCUUUUGUAAUUGUGAGCACUCAUCAAAAUAUGACAUGCUAAAAGGUUGAUGUUGGACAAGGAAGACAACUUAAUGGGUUAUGUUUUCCUAUAUCCGAAACGUUAUAUUGUCUUGGAUCACCCAGCAUGUUGAGCUUGCAUUUCCCUCUCAUGCUAGCCAAAUUCUUUGCACCAAGUAGAAAUACUACUUGUGCUAACAUCCCUUAAACCAGUUUUGCCAUGAGAUUCCAUUGUACCUACCUAUGGAUGGAGUAACAUCCUUCAAGUAAGUAGUCAUCGGUGCAUGCAAUAAAAAUUGCUCUCUAAAUAUGUAUGAUCUAUUAGUGCAAAGAAAAUAAGCUUUAUACGAACUUGUGAUAGGGAAGAAAUAAAAGCGACGGACUACAUAAUAAAGGUCUUUAUCACAAGCGGCAAUAUAAAGUGAUGUUUUUUUGCAUUAAGAUUUUGUGCAUCCAACCAUAAAAGUGCAUGACAACCUCUGCCUCCCUCUGCGAAGGGCCUAUCUUUUACUUUUAUCUUCUACCCUUAUACAAGAGUCAUGGUGAUCACCACCUUUCCUUUUUACACUUUUUCCUUUGGCAAGCACUUUGUGUUGGAGCGAUCCGGAUAUAUAUAUAUAUAUAUAUAUAUAUAUCCACUUGGAUGUAGGUUUUCAUAAAUUAUUAUUGUUGACAUUACCCUUGAGGUAAAAGGUUGGGAGGCAAAACUAUAAGCCCCUAUCUUUCUCUGUGUCCGAUUAAAACUUUGAACCCAUAAAUAUCACAUGAGUGUUAGCAAUUGUGAAAGAUUAAAUGAUAGUUGAGUAUGUGGAGUUUGCUAAAUCAAAGCUCUGACAUAGACCCUUCCUGAAAAUAAGAUGAAUUGCAAUUGUUUGAUGACUGAGAAUAUAGUUUGUUAGUUUCAAGAAAGUUUAUGAUCUAUACUUUAACAUGUGAAUAGCUUGUCACUUGAUCAUGAGAAGUUUUAUGACAUGAGCUACUGUUAUGGCAUAUAAUGAUGCUAGAAAAGGUGAUCGAAAUUACCAUUGAUCAAACUUAUGCAUUUGCUAGCAUUCACACAUCAUAAAUUAUUUCUUUUAUCAUUUACCUACUCGAGGACGAGCAGGAAUUAAGCUUGGGGAUGCUGAUACGUCUCCAACGUAUCUAUAAUUUAUGAAGUAUUCAUGCCAUGUUUACAAUAGUUUUAUAUGAUUUUGGUAUGAUUUGAUUAGAACUAACCCGGACUGACGCUGUUUUUAGCAGAACUACCGUGGUGUUGUUUUUGUGCGGAAAUAAAAGUUCUCGGAACGCGCAGAAAAUCAACGGAGAUUUUUUCUAGAAAAUAUGAAAAAUACUGGAACAAAAAUCUACCGGAGGGGAGUCCCGAGGGCCCCACGAGGGUGGAGGCGCGCCCACCCCCCUGGGGCGUGAUGACCCACAAGUGUAGGAUAUCUAUCGUAGUCCUUUCGAUAAGUAAGAGUGUCGAACCCAAUGAGGAGCAGAAGGAAAUGACAAGCGGUUUUCAGUAAGGUAUUCUCUGUAAGCACUGAAAUUAUCGGUAACAGAUAGUUUUACGAUAAGGUAAUUUGUAACGGGUAACAAGUAAUGAAAGUAAAUAAGGUGCAGCAAGGUGGCCCAAUCCUUUUUGUAGUAAAGGACAAGCCUAGACAAAUUCUUAUAUGAAGGAAAACGCUCCCGAGGACACAUGGGAAUUAUCGUCAAGCUAGUUUUCAUCACGCUCAUAUGAUUCGUGUUCGUUACUUUGAUAAUUUGAUAUGUGGGUGGACCCGUGCUUGGGUACUGCCAUUUCUUCGACAAGCAUCCCACUUAUGAUUAACCCCUAUUGCAAGCAUCCGCAACUACAAAAGAAGUAUUAAGGUAAACCUAACCAUAGCAUAAAACAUAUGGAUCCGAAUCAACUUCUUACGAAGCAACUCAUAAAUUAGGGUUUAAGAUUAUGUCACUCUAGCAACCCAUCAUCUACUUAUUACUUCCUAAUUCCUUCCUCUAGGCCCAAACAAUGGUGAAGUGUCAUGUAGUCGACGUUCACAUAACGCCACUAGAGGAGAGACAACAUACAUCUCAUCAAAAUAUCGAACAAAUACCAAAUUCACAUGACUACUUAUAGCAAGACUUCUCCCAUGUCCUCAGGAACAAAUGUAACUACUCACAAAUAUAUUCAUGUUCAUAAUCAGAGGGGUUUAAAGUGCAUAUUGAUAUGUCUCCAACGUAUCUAUAAUUUUUGAUUGUUCCGUGCUAUUAUAUUAUCUGUUUUGGAUGUUUAUGGGCUUUGUUAUAUUGUUUUAAAUUAUUUUUCGGACUAACCUACUAACCAGAGGCCUAGUCCAAAUUGUUGUAUUCUUGCCUAUUUGAGUGUUUCGAAGAAAAGGAAUAUCAAACGGUUUCCCAAUUUUUUGAAUUUUUUUGAAUUUUUUAUGCCCGUUUCAAAAUGCGGUCAAAAGGGCGGGAAUGACCGUUCCUAGCUAGUGGUUGAAUCUUUGAUUGUUUUAGUGUUUUUCUUAUUAAAUAGAUACUUUUGUACCUAGAAAUGAUUUUUGGAAAAAAUAAAGAGCAAACUACAAGGCAACUACAGUUCAAAUUUGACCCACUUCCAGCUGAAUCGGCGGAAAUUUGUCUUUUUCACGAGAGGUGGAUCAAAACUUUUUACACCCAACCACUUUGUCAAUUGUGCAUUAAAUAUGGCCUUGUAUUUUAUAAAAAUGAUUUGGUCCAAUUUUGCAACAAUUAUUUGGGAGGUCCUUCACAAAAAAACCUCCUUUUGGGCACUCGAAAAAUGGAAAAUUGAUUUUUCAUCCAAAGAAAAUGAAAACUUACUUAGGCAACAUUGUUUGUCAUUCCAAUAUGCACCCUUGUGCACAAUAUGAGAUAAUUUGAACGAACUAUGCCAUUCCAAAAUGCACCCUUCUGCAAAAAACACAAGAGAAACAAAUAGAAAAACACAACUACAUAAGCUUGAAAAAGUAUUUGAUGUGCUCCACAUGUGCUAUGAUUGUGAAUUAUAAAAUUGAUGUGAUCCAAAUUUGCAACAAAUAUUUGCUAGGUUCUUUAUAAAAAUAUCAUUUUGGACACUCAAAAAUGAUUCUCUUACAAAAAACUCAUAUCUUCAAACACUUUUCUUAAUGAUAUUAACAAUAUUCAAAGUUUGUUAUUUUUACUGAAAAGUAGUUCACACUUGGUGACACAAUGCGAAGGUUUUUUAUUUCCAUAUUUUUUUAAAUUUCUUAGGUAGUCAAAUAACAGACAUGAUUCAAAAUCUUAUUUUCAAUCGAUUAUGACCAAUUUAAAUGGUCUUAACAUCAUCAAAGGGGAUACUCUGUUCUGAUUGGUCUAAAAUCAGCUCACGCGGAUCAUGGCUUAAGCACCGUCGGAUGCGCCCGGAUCCAACGGCAGCCCACACCCCCCUCGUCGCUCUCACCCCCUCCUGAAUCACCCCGUAUCCCUCUCAUCCUCGUCCUCCCACGAAACCCUAGCCCCCUUCUCCCAAUCGCCGCCGCCUCCCAGAUCCAAUCCAAGUGAGAGCCCCCAACCUGCAUCUCCAUUCCUACGCGCGUCGGCCACCUCCCUACGGCGGAGCUCGACCCCCACCCCCCAAGCGCCGCUGCUCCAACCUCUCCCGCGCCCCUCGAUCCCAAAUCCCCAUCUCCAAGUCACCCUCUCCCUCCCCGAGAUCUCGAUCCGCCGCCGCCCACCAGCGACGAGAUCGAGCUCCUCCCUCCCUCCCGUUCUCCCCUAGCCUUAUCCACUCCGAGCCAACCAACCACACUAUCCUUGGGAUUUUGUCGCGUGGCGCCUCGUCUUGUUGGCCCGGCGACCACAGGCAGGUAGUCCACGGCUAGGAUGGCGGCAUGCCCCGCCACGACCAUGUACGCGCACGACACUUCGCGCCUCCCCUCCCUCUUCUGCGGUUCCUAACAUAUGCGCUCCUCUCCUCUCCUUGGGUGACAUGCAGGGCUCGCGUGGGAGCAGCGCACGGCGGAGGCCUCUGGAGGAGAAGCGGGAGGAGCCCGACCGUCCUCGCAUGCCCGGCCCGUGGCAGGAGCACCACGGCGCGUGCCUCAGAGCUACAACAUCUCCUUCGGCGACUUCGUCUUCGGCAUCCUGCCGGCCACGCUCGUCGGCGUCGGCAUCCUGGCGAUUUCCUGUAAUCCUGUUCGGCAACGCGUGCUGGGAACUUUAUUGCCUCGAGCACGGCAUCCUGGUUCAUCAUACCCCAUCUCAUCCCAUCUCUCGCCCCUUCCGAUGUCAGAUCUUCUUUGGUCUGGAAUAUUUAGGCUCUAAUUGAUGCGUGAUUUGAACCGUGAUGGGAUUACUUGAUUACCUUCCCGUGUAGGUCUAAUAGUUUUCCCCCGAGAAUGCGGCAAUUAGUGUUCGAUCUGUGCGACCCUUCUGAAUUUGUCAGGAACAUGAACUGUUCGUAGUUCCUAAUUUAAGCCUGCGAUCUGUGAUGUCUAGCCAUUUCAUUUUGUAGUUUACAUCUGAUAAGCAAUUGCAGUAUGAGGAUCGUGCUUUUCAUGAGACAUGGGUGCACUUCUGUACUAGUAUAGUUGCCACUUGUGUGAAAUCUCAGAUCUAGUUAGGCCAUUAUCAUGCUUUACAUAGUCAUUUAGUGGUCCAAUGUUGCAUUGCAUCUCCGGACUUGCAUUAUUGACGAGGGUGUAUUUGGUCUGGGGAUCCAUUAAAAAGGGAAGCAUAAAUAUUCUGUCUGCCACCAAAUUCUUUGUGGCUUUCUGUACUUCAAACAUAGCACCGGGAUGUUAUUUGUGUGAGCAAUCAGAAGGAAGCAAUAAAACAUGGUGUCUUGUGUACAUUUCACCAUCCGUUGAUCAUUUUUUAUAUGAUCAUCUUAUUAACGUGACCAAAACUUACUCUUGUUCUUGCCCUUGCAGAGCUUUUCCCAUGGCGGCAACUGCGUGAUCAAAAUUAGCUUUAGUUUUGCUAGGAUGUGUAAUUGUGUUUGUAGAUAACAGUAUUGAUAUGUUGAUCUGCUUUAUUCCUGAUGUGGUAGUAGAAAUAAGAUAGAUAGAUUGGACAAUGUUAUGGCUUUGAUUUUCCUAGGUUGUAGUUUGUUCCAUAUCGUGUUAGGUUGUAUUGUAUAUCUGCAUUAUAAGUGUGGUUUCUAAUGUGCUUAUGCUAGAUUAAUGCAUCAACCUGACAUGUUACAAACCUUGAGCCAGAACCUAUGACAUCUCAUUUUAAAUGGUUAUCAUUGUUGUUAAAAUGCUACUGUUUGAUUUCAUACAAGUAUGUGCCCCCAACUGCUGUAUAGUUGUAUCCAUAUUUGUUUUGUACAAGUAUAUGACGAGCUGAUGAACCAGCUACAUACCCACUAUUUCUGCAUACCCACUGUUGUAUAGUCAUUAUGCUACUUAUGUUUCCAACUCCACUAUUUCUGUUUUUCUUUAUCACCUUAUCCAACAUUGUUGAUUCCUGUAUUGAUGCAUGCCAACGAUGAAAAGAUCUUGUAUUAAGCUUUAGUUGGCUGUUAAUUAUGUUGUGUUUGUUGCUGACUAACAACGGCCUAUGGCGGCUGGGCAUUAGAAACACAAUCUGUCUGUAUGUAAUCUAACUUGCAGUGUGUGUGUGGCAUGCAGGGAGGUGGUGAUCAUGUGAACAACAUAUGCCUGGAAGACCUCUGGCCCAGCUCAACUCCAUCUCCAUGCACCUCGGUGAGAUCGUCGGUAAUGGAUGCCGCCUGCCUCGUAUCAUUCUUUCUGGAUAACAUUCUAGUGUGGCAACGUUUAGUAAUUUACAGCUCCCUAUUCAUGGUGCUAUGAAAACUCUGAAAAUUGGUACUUCAGUCAAAUGUGCUUUCCUUUCUAAACAACUGUGCACCUCGCUGAGAUCGUCUUACCUGGCAUCAUUCCAUACUAGUAUAGAUAGCAUCCAAAUACGGUGUGCUGUUCACUGGUUUUAUUUUCAUACGAUGACAAGAGUUGAUGAAUAUUCAGGCAUACUAGAACAUAUUUCGUGGCAAUUCUAGAACUGCAGAAGUUGACCUGUUUGUUGUAGAAUUCAAUAGGCAGUAUCCUUUAUUUAGGCUCAAAAAAAUCCUUGCAGUGGUAUUAUUGUAACGUCAAGUUUUCAUCACAAACACUACUUGUUUAUUAUGAAACAUUCAUUCUACUACACACUAUUCAGUUAUUAUCUAAAAAACACAAUUCAGUUAACUUAUACUUUAUCUUUUAGAUUUGUAGCUUCAAACCUGGAAAAAUGGACAUGUAGCUUCUACUUUUGAACAAAGUAAAAUGCAAUGCACAUAGAUAGACAUACAUCAUAGGCAGUACUUGUUUCUAAGUUAGCUAAGCAUAAUCUGUUGUUUAAUCCAAAUUGUGUUAUCAAAAGUUGCGCAGAAUGUGUUCUGGUCUUGCUUCAUGGAUCAGUUUUCUCAUAAAACUAAUGUGCCUGGACAACAGUUUGCUCCACUAAUAUUAUAUCUCUCUCAUUGUAG
rnacentral:lncRNA from 1 species